CUUGCGCAGUAACCUGUAUGUCUUUAAAAAGCCGCUUGCUGGGCUAGAAAGAGAAGGGAAGCCUCUGCUAACCAAAGAUAACGAAUUAGCUAGAUCAAUAAAAGCGUUGUACAGUCAUUUAGCUAGCUAUUUUAAUAUAUGAUUAAAUAAACUACCAAGAUAGUGGCGUAAUAUUGUUGCUGUUGGUAAUCUUAGUUUACAAUGCUAUGCUAACUUUAGCUAGCUACGUAGCUAACGUUACUUGACUAUCAUUUCCAAAGCUGCAAAAUAAGAAGUUCUCAAUCUAACAUUAAUCCUCUACAAUAUAUAUUUGUCUCACAAUAUAUGACGCAGCUGACGACGAAGAUGCUGCUUUUUGGCAACACCUUCUGUCCACAGAAUACCCCUCGCAAGUCUGUUUCUGUCUUAAAUCUGCACACGUUGGAUUGGUCUACGAGGGAAAUAGAGUUGGGUCUUGAGUAUGGAGCCCCUGUUAUGAACAUUGGGGGCCAUAGCUUGACAUUUGAAGACGGACAAUGGAUUGCUGUCUGAAGGGAAUGUAUCUGGGAAGGAGGCGAAGACUGAAAAAUAGCAACCUAUAGCUUGAAAAGGAGAACAACCUACUCAGGCUGAAGAUUGACCUCCUGUUGGACAUGGUAGAUUCUCAUCAGCUUGAAGCAUCCCAUUGAAUACAGUUGCAUAGAUACAGUAUAAGCCAUACAAUACAGUAUGCUUAUACAGUAUAAGCCAUACAAUUAACCUUGAAUACGGGAUUCCCUUUAUAGGCCAUUAUUAAUAAUUUAUCGGAGCAAGUAACUGAUUCCCUUUUUCUUAAGUUGUCAGAAACCACUGCAGAGUAUCACCUGAUGGAGAAGCAGCUGGAAAAGAUGAAGAUUCUCAGUCGAAGGAAGAAGUGAUGAAUAGACAAUUACAGACAGGUUCCCAGUGAUACCUGAAAAUUAAGAAGGGAAUAGAUAAAGGAUUGUGAGUGUUAGUGACCAAUUAAUUGUAUUUGAUUUAUUUUACCUUUAUUUAAUCAGGAAAGUCAGUUAAGAACAAAUUCUUCUUUUUUUUUAAC